GGAAUCUUGCGCAAUGGGCGAAAGCCUGACGCAGCAACGCCGCGUGCGGGAAGAAGGCUUUCGGGCUGUAAACCGCUUUCAGUAGGAACGAAACUGACGGUACCUACAGAAGAAGGAGCGGCCAACUAUGUGCCAGCAGCCGCGGUGACACAUAGGCUCCAAGCGUUGUCCGGAUUUAUUGGGCGUAAAGAGCUCGUAGGCGGUUGAGUAAGUCGGGUGUGAAAACUUUGGGCUUAACCCAAAGAUGCCACUCGAUACUGCUUUGACUUGAGUUCGGUAGGGGAGUGGGGAAUUCCUUGCGUAGCGGUGAAAUGCGCAGAUAUAAGGAGGAACACCGGUGGCGAAGGCGCCACUCUGGGCCGAUACUGACGCUGAGGAGCGAAAGCGUGGGUAGCAAACAGGAUUAGAUACCCUGGUAGUCCACGCGGUAAACGGUGGUCACUAGGUGUGGGUCUCUACCAAUGAGAUCUGCGCCGUCGCUAACGCAUUAAGUGACCCGCCUGGGGAGUACGGUCGCAAGACUAAAACUCAAAUGAAUUGACGG
rnacentral:rRNA from 1 species